rnacentral:rRNA from 1 species
AGCGAACGCUGGCGGCAGGCCUAACACAUGCAAGUCGAACGAACCUUUCGGGGUUAGUGGCGGACGGGUGAGUAACACGUGGGAACGUGCCUUUAGGUUCGGAAUAACUCAGGGAAACUUGUGCUAAUACCGAAUGUGCCCUUCGGGGGAAAGAUUUAUCGCCUUUAGAGCGGCCCGCGUCUGAUUAGCUAGUUGGUUGAGGUAAUGGCUCACCAAGGCGACGAUCAGUAGCUGGUCUGAGAGGAUGAUCAGCCACAUUGGGACUGAGACACGGCCCAAACUCCUACGGGAGGAAGCAGUGGGGAAUCUUGCGCAAUGGGCGAAAGCCUGACGCAGCCAUGCCGCGUGAAUGAUGAAGGUCUUAGGAUUGUAAAAUUCUUUCACCGGGGACGAUAAUGACGGUACCCGGAGAAGAAGCCCCGGCUAACUUCGU